CACACGCUCUCUCUCCUCUUUCCUCCAAAACUCUGGCGAUGGAAUGAGACGUAGUUAGAUGCGAUGGCAGCGAAUUUGAAAUCUGUAACGGCUUUAUGCACCGUACUCACCGUCGUUAUCUUGCUUUUCCGUGGCGGUGCGGCGGCGGUGGAGGAUGAGACCGAGUUUCACGGCGACUACUCGAAGCUAUCUGGUAUAAUCAUCCCGGGAUUCGCGUCGACGCAGCUGAGAGCGUGGUCAAUGCUCGACUGUCCGUACACUCCGUUGGACUUCAAUCCUCUCGACCUCGUUUGGUUAGACACCACUAAGCUUCUCUCUGCUGUAAACUGCUGGUUUAAGUGUAUGGUGCUAGAUCCUUAUAAUCAAACGGAUCAUCCCGAGUGUAAGUCACGCCCUGACAGUGGUCUUUCUGCGAUCACGGAAUUGGAUCCAGGUUACAUAACAGGUCCUCUUUCUACUGUCUGGAAAGAGUGGCUUAAGUGGUGUGUUGAGUUUGGCAUUGAGGCUAAUGCAAUUGUUGCUGUUCCCUACGAUUGGAGAUUGUCACCAACCAAAUUGGAAGAGCGUGAUCUUUACUUUCACAAGCUCAAGUUGACCUUUGAAACUGCUUUAAAGCUCCGUGGCGGUCCUUCUAUAGUUUUUGCACAUUCUAUGGGUAAUAAUGUCUUCAGAUACUUUCUGGAAUGGCUGAGGCUAGAAAUUGCACCAAAACAUUACUUGGAGUGGCUUGAUCAGCAUAUCCAUGCUUACUUCGCUGUUGGAGCUCCUCUUCUUGGCUCAGUUGAGGCAAUCAAAUCUACUCUAUCUGGUGUAACGUUUGGCCUUCCUAUUUCUGAGGUUUUGAAUUGGCUAGUUAUCAACCAACAUAUGUGGGGAACUGCUCGAUUGCUGUCCAAUUCUUUCGCUUCUUCGUUGUGGCUUAUGCCAUUUUCAAAGAACUGCCAGGGUGAUAACACGUUCUGGACGCAUUUUUCUGGUGGUGCUGCAAAGAAAGACAAGCGUGUAUACCACUGUACUGACGAGGAAUAUCAAUCAAAUUAUUCUGGCUGGCCCACGAAUAUCAUCAACAUUGAAAUUCCUUCCACUAACAGCCGUGAUGCGUAUCCGUCAGUUACAGAAGCAGUUCAGGCCAACAUGACCACCAUGGAAUGUGGUCUCCCCACUCUAUUGUCUUUCACAGCCCGUGAAUUGGCAGAUGGGUCUCUUUUCAAAGCAAUUAAAGACUAUGACCCAGAUAGCAAGAGGAUGUUACACCAGUUGAAGAAGUUGUAUCAUGAUGACCCUGUUAUGAAUCCUCUGACUCCUUGGGAGAGACCACCUAUCAAAAAUGUGUUUUGCAUAUAUGGUGCUCAUUUAAAGACAGAGGUUGGUUAUUACUUUGCCCCAAGUGGCAAACCUUACCCUGAUAAUUGGAUCAUUACGGAUAUCAUUUACGAGACUGAAGGUUCCCUCGUAUCAAGGUCUGGAACUGUUGUUGAUGGGAACGCUGGACCUAUAACUGGGGAUGAAACGGUACCUUAUCAUUCACUCUCUUGGUGCAAGAAUUGGCUCGGACCUAAAGUCAACAUAACAAUGGCUCCCCAGCCAGAACACGAUGGAAGUGAUGUACACGUGGAAUUGAAUGUUGAACACGAGCAUGGGUCAGACAUCAUAGCGAACAUGACGAAAGCACCAAGGGUUAAGUACAUAACCUUCUAUGAAGACUCUGAGAGCAUUACAGGAAAGAGAACUGCAGUCUGGGAGCUUGAUAAAACAAAUCACAGGAACAUUGUUAGAUCCCCAGUUCUAAUGCGGGAGUUAUGGCUUCAGAUGUGGCAUGACAUUCAGCCUGGUGCAAAGUCCAAAUUUGUCACCAAAGCCAAGCGCGGGCCACUUAGAGAUGCGGAUUGCUACUGGGAUUACGGGAAAGCAUGUUGUGCUUGGCAAGAAUACUGUGAAUACAGAUACAGUUUUGGGGAUGUUCACUUAGGACAAAGUUGUAGAUUGAGGAACACAUCUGCGAAUAUGCUGCUCCAGUACAUAUAGAUUUUCCUCCUUCAGCAAAGGACCAUUCCUUGCCCUCCAUUUUUCAAAACAUUCCAUUCUUAUUGCUCUCUAUUUUGCUACGCAUUUGCCUUCUCACGCAAAGUUGUAUGAGAACUGAGCGACUUGUAAAUCUCCAUGCCAUUUUUUAGGUUUUCAUCAUUAUGCAUACAGUUAAAUAUAAUUAUUUUCUUCAUAAAGAUCUAAAUUAAAAAAUUAGAAAUUUUCCUGUGUGAUUACAUUUGUAAUUAGUUAAUUUUAUAUAUAUCUGCAUUAAUAGUAACUAUGUUAUAUGUAUGAUUACUACAUCCUACUUGUCAAUUGAUUGAGGUUGUGCCUUACAGUUAUUGUUGUCUAAGGUAUUGUGUUUUAUUAUUGUCAAUAAUAGUAAGUGAUUUUUCAUAUAAUAGGACAAUUAUAUUUAAAAGGACAAAUUAGUUAGAAAAUAUAUAUAAUGAAUUCAAAAUCUAGUCAUUAAAGUAUGAAACCCAUAAAAAGGUUUAUCAGAAUAGUAAAGUUUUUAAACUAAUUUGUUCAUUCUUGAAUUCGUUUCUCUCCAUCGUUGAAAAAUUAUAAAGUUUAGGUGCUGAUAAAAAAAUGAAAAG